CCUACGGGAGGCAGCAGUGGGGAAUAUUGCACAAUGGGCGAAAGCCUGAUGCAGCAACGCCGCGUGAAGGAUGAAGGCCUUCGGGUUGUAAAGCUCUUUUCUGAAGGAAGAAAAUGACGGUACGUGAGGAGGAAGCCCCGGCUAACUACGUGCCAGCAGCCGCGGUAAUACGUAGGGGGCGAGCGUUAUCCGGAAUUACUGGGCGUAAAGGGGGCGUAGGUGGGUUCUAAAGUCAGAGGGGAACGGCUAGGGCUAAACCGUGGAUAGCCUUUGAAACUGGGGAGCUUGAGUGCAGGAGAGGAAGGUGGAAUUCCUGGUGUAGCGGUGAAAUGCUUAGAUAUCAGGAGGAACACCGAUUGCGAAGGCGGCUCUCUGGACUGUAACUGACGCUGAGGCACGAAAGCGUGGGGAGCAAACAGGAUUAGAUACCCCGGUAGUC
rnacentral:rRNA from 1 species